rnacentral:rRNA from 1 species
UACGGAGGGUGCGAGCGUUGUUCGGAAUCACUGGGCGUAAAGCGCGUGUAGGCAGCCCACUAAGUCUGAUGUGAAAGCCCGGGGCUCACCCCCGGAAGUGCAUUGGAAACUGGUGGACUCGAGUCCCGGAGAGGAGAGUGGAAUUCCUGGUGUAGCGGUGAAAUGCGUAGAUAUCAGGAGGAACACCGGUGGCGAAGGCGGCUCUCUGGACGGUGACUGACGCUGAGACGCGAAAGCGUGGGGAGCAAACAGG